GAUUGAACGCUGGCGGCAGGCCUAACACAUGCAAGUCGAGCGGUAGCACAGAGAGCUUGCUCUCGGGUGACGAGCGGCGGACGGGUGAGUAAUGUCUGGGAAACUGCCUGAUGGAGGGGGAUAACUACUGGAAACGGUAGCUAAUACCGCAUAACGUCGCAAGACCAAAGUGGGGGACCUUCGGGCCUCAUGCCAUCAGAUGUGCCCAGAUGGGAUUAGCUAGUAGGUGGGGUAACGGCUCACCUAGGCGACGAUCCCUAGCUGGUCUGAGAGGAUGACCAGCCACACUGGAACUGAGACACGGUCCAGACUCCUACGGGAGGCAGCAGUGGGGAAUAUUGCACAAUGGGCGCAAGCCUGAUGCAGCCAUGCCGCGUGUGUGAAGAAGGCCUUCGGGUUGUAAAGCACUUUCAGCGGGGAGGAAGGCGUUAAGGUUAAUAACCUUGGCGAUUGACGUUACCCGCAGAAGAAGCACCGGCUAACUCCGUGCCAGCAGCCGCGGUAAUACGGAGGGUGCAAGCGUUAAUCGGAAUUACUGGGCGUAAAGCGCACGCAGGCGGUCUGUCAAGUCGGAUGUGAAAUCCCCGGGCUCAACCUGGGAACUGCAUUCGAAACUGGCAGGCUAGAGUCUUGUAGAGGGGGGUAGAAUUCCAGGUGUAGCGGUGAAAUGCGUAGAGAUCUGGAGGAAUACCGGUGGCGAAGGCGGCCCCCUGGACAAAGACUGACGCUCAGGUGCGAAAGCGUGGGGAGCAAACAGGAUUAGAUACCCUGGUAGUCCACGCCGUAAACGAUGUCGAUUUGGAGGUUGUGCCCUUGAGGCGUGGCUUCCGGAGCUAACGCGUUAAAUCGACCGCCUGGGGAGUACGGCCGCAAGGUUAAAACUCAAAUGAAUUGACGGGGGCCCGCACAAGCGGUGGAGCAUGUGGUUUAAUUCGAUGCAACGCGAAGAACCUUACCUGGUCUUGACAUCCACAGAACUUUCCAGAGAUGGAUUGGUGCCUUCGGGAACUGUGAGACAGGUGCUGCAUGGCUGUCGUCAGCUCGUGUUGUGAAAUGUUGGGUUAAGUCCCGCAACGAGCGCAACCCUUAUCCUUUGUUGCCAGCGGUUCGGCCGGGAACUCAAAGGAGACUGCCAGUGAUAAACUGGAGGAAGGUGGGGAUGACGUCAAGUCAUCAUGGCCCUUACGACCAGGGCUACACACGUGCUACAAUGGCAUAUACAAAGAGAAGCGACCUCGCGAGAGCAAGCGGACCUCAUAAAGUAUGUCGUAGUCCGGAUUGGAGUCUGCAACUCGACUCCAUGAAGUCGGAAUCGCUAGUAAUCGUAGAUCAGAAUGCUACGGUGAAUACGUUCCCGGGCCUUGUACACACCGCCCGUCACACCAUGGGAGUGGGUUGCAAAAGAAGUAGGUAGCUUAACCUUCNGGGAGGGCGCUUACCACUUUGUGAUUCAUGACUGGGGUGAAGUCGUACAAGGUAACC
rnacentral:rRNA from 1 species